AUAAAGCAUCUGACUACGGAUCAGAAGAUUAUGGGUUCGAAUCCCUUCGAGGUCGCAUUCGUUUUAUCCUAUCC
rnacentral:tRNA from 1 species